GAUGAACGCUGGCGGCGUGCCUAAUACAUGCAAGUAGAACGCUGAAGGAGGAGCUUGCUCUUCUGGAUGAGUUGCGAACGGGUGAGUAACGCGUAGGUAACCUGCCUGGUAGCGUGGGAUAACUAUUGGAAACGAUAGCUAAUACCGCAUGACAACAGUUAUUGCAUGAUAACUGUUUAAAAGGGGCAACUGCUCCACUACCAGAUGGACCUGCGUUGUAUUAGCUAGUUGGUGAGGUAACGGCUCACCAAGGCGACGAUACAUAGCCGACCUGAGAGGGUGAUCGGCCACACUGGGACUGAGACACGGCCCAGACUCCUACGGGAGGCAGCAGUAGGGAAUCUUCGGCAAUGGACGGAAGUCUGACCGAGCAACGCCGCGUGAGUGAAGAAGGUUUUCGGAUCGUAAAGCUCUGUUGUAAGAGAAGAACGAGUGUGAGAGUGGAAAGUUCACACUGUGACGGUAUCUUACCAGAAAGAGACGGCUAACUACGUG
rnacentral:rRNA from 1 species